rnacentral:rRNA from 1 species
GUAGGGCGAAAAAGGGGGGCGGUAAUUACAUGCAUCUCGAGCGGACAGAUGGGAGCUUGCUCCCUGAUGUUAGCGGCGGACGGGUGAGUAACACGUGGGUAACCUGCCUGUAAGACUGGGAUAACUCCGGGAAACCGGGGCUAAUACCGGAUGGUUGUUUGAACCGCAUGGUUCAAACAUAAAAGGUGGCUUCGGCUACCACUUACAGAUGGACCCGCGGCGCAUUAGCUAGUUGGUGAGGUAACGGCUCACCAAGGCAACGAUGCGUAGCCGACCUGAGAGGGUGAUCGGCCACACUGGGACUGAGACACGGCCCAGACUCCUACGGGAGGCAGCAGUAGGGAAUCUUCCGCAAUGGACGAAAGUCUGACGGAGCAACGCCGCGUGAGUGAUGAAGGUUUUCGGAUCGUAAAGCUCUGUUGUUAGGGAAGAACAAGUACCGUUCGAAUAGGGCGGUACCUUGACGGUACCUAACCAGAAAGCCACGGCUAACUACGUGCCAGCAGCCGCGGUAAUACGUAGGGUGGCAAGCGUUGUCCGGAAUUAUUGGGCGUAAAGGGCUCGCAGGCGGUUUCUUAAGUCUGAUGUGAAAGCCCCCGGCUCAACCGGGGGAGGGUCAUUGGAAACUGGGGAACUUGAGUGCAGAGAGGAGAGUGACUUCCACGUGUAGCCGUGAAUGCGUAGAGAUGUGGAGGAACACAGUGCCGAAGCGACUCUCUGGUCUGUAACUGACGCUGAGGAGCGAAGCGUG